AUUGAACGCUGGCGGCAUGCCUUACACAUGCAAGUCGAACGGUAACAGGUCUUCGGAUGCUGACGAGUGGCGAACGGGUGAGUAAUACAUCGGAACGUGCCUAGUAGUGGGGGAUAACUACUCGAAAGAGUGGCUAAUACCGCAUGAGAUCUACGGAUGAAAGCAGGGGAUCGCAAGACCUUGUGCUACUAGAGCGGCCGAUGGCAGAUUAGGUAGUUGGUGGGAUAAAGGCUUACCAAGCCGGCGAUCUGUAGCUGGUCUGAGAGGACGAUCAGCCACACUGGGACUGAGACACGGCCCAGACUCCUACGGGAGGCAGCAGUGGGGAAUUUUGGACGAUGGGCGCAAGCCUUAUCCAGCAAUGCCGCGUGCAGGAUGAAGGCCUUCGGGUUGUAAACUGCUUUUGUACGGAGCGAAAAGCCCCGGGUUAAUACCCUGGGGUCAUGACGGUACCGUAAGAAUAAGCACCGGCUAACUACGUGCCAGCAGCCGCCGCCG
rnacentral:rRNA from 1 species